rnacentral:lncRNA from 1 species
CUGGAGCCCAGGCUAAUGCCCUGUACAGUCAGAAGCACAGGAGCAAUGCUGCAGCCUUGUGGUAACCAAAGUACGCCAUGCACACAACUCAAGAAGAUGCUUCCUGUGAUGCAGGAACCUUAUCAGCUCUUGACUUCUUCACUGCAAACAGUAGUCAAUACAGGUAGCUGCAGGAAGCAGGGUGAUCUUUUAUCUCCACAGAAGAAAAUUGAAAGCUCCAGCUGAGUAAAAUGAUGAGGAAAUGGAAACAGAAUUGCUGGGUGAGACAAAUCCAG